GCCUGUUUGAGCUGGUGCUUGUUGGCUUUAACAUCCGCAAUGAUCACAAGUGUGGUGUUGUCUCCUGUCUUCUUCAUGGCGGACUCAGUGGUCAGCGGAAACUUGAUGAUAGCGUAGUGGUCCAGCUUGUUUCUCCUGAGGGUGCUCUUCCGAGGAUAUCUGGGCUGCCUCCGGAGUCGCAGUGUCUUGGGCCGCCGGAAGUCUGCCUGCUUUUAUCUUUGAUCUCAAGUGAGUACUGACAGUGCGUCCGACAGAAGUGAAGCUUCCUCGGUGCAUUCGACAGAAAUGAAAACGUUCUAUUCCUUUCGCACUGAUCUCCAUCAGUUAGAACAUUGCCAUGGUUGAACCAGAGCUACGGGAUGGCAGAUCUGAUGGCCUCAUGCGUCAGACAAUUUGCAAGAUGAAGAUUUGCCUUUGUAU